rnacentral:lncRNA from 1 species
CCAGACAGUGGGCGCAGGCAUGCACCCUUUUCCAUACACACCCACAUUAUGUUCGGCUCUCUAUAUCUACAGAUACAGAAGGACUUGAGCAUCCUUGGAUUUUGGUAUCCACGGGGCAUCCUGGAACCAAUCUACUGACCCUACCAAGGAGCAACUGUAUAGUCUAGCUUAUACCUGCAUCUCCAUGGUCUCCAGGAGUGUGGACAACAAGCCAUUCAUAAAGGUCCAUUCCAAGUGACAACAGUUCUCAUGGGGCCUUGAGCCAACUGUGGAGAGGAUAACAAAGGACUGGAUAGCAGGAGGACUGGGCAUGUUGGUCAAGGGAGUUCUGACCAUACUUGUCCUAGGCCUAAGGCCUUGGUAUUCUCUGAAAAUAGGAAGAAAGAAAGCAGGAGGAAAGAGUUGAAAAUGUUUAGGAAGACAAGCUAGCUUUGGAAACAUCGGAGAGGGGAAGGGGAAGCAACAAAAGAAGCUGGAACCAGGGAGCUGUCCCUAGUUCUUUGCCUAAGUUGACAUUCUUUCAAAUUCUUUUUAAAAAUAAAAGAAAAAGAGGAGAAAGGGUAAUGUUAUUGUACAAAAGCUACUGCUUUUAAUUCUCCCAUGGCAAGAGAGACAAAAGCAGGAAAUUCAUCCCUGGGUUUGGCCAAAUCUCAGAAAAGCACAUAAGAAGGAUAGCCUAAUUCCAAAGCGGCAUUAUAGAAAACAUCA